rnacentral:rRNA from 1 species
AACGAACGCUGGCGGCAGGCCUAACACAUGCAAGUCGAGCGCGCCUUUCGGGGUGAGCGGCGGACGGGUUAGUAACGCGUGGGAAUAUACCCUUUGGUACGGAAUAGCCUCUGGAAACGGAGAGUAAUACCGUAUGUGCCCUUCGGGGGAAAGAUUUAUCGCCAAAGGAUUAGCCCGCGUUAGAUUAGGUAGUUGGUGGGGUAAUGGCCUACCAAGCCUACGAUCUAUAGCUGGUUUUAGAGGAUGAUCAGCAACACUGGGACUGAGACACGGCCCAGACUCCUACGGGAGGCAGCAGUGGGGAAUCUUGGACAAUGGGGGCAACCCUGAUCCAGCCAUGCCGCGUGAGUGAUGAAGGCCCUAGGGUUGUAAAGCUCUUUCAGCGGGGAAGAUAAUGACGGUACCAGCAGAAGAAGCCCCGGCUAACUCCGUGCCAGCCGCCGCGGUAAAAC